rnacentral:rRNA from 1 species
UGGGGAAUAUUGGACAAUGGGCGAAAGCCUGAUCCAGCCAUGCCGCGUGUGUGAAGAAUGUCUUCGGAUUGUAAAGCACUUUAAGUUGGGAGGAAGGGCAGUAAGCGAAUACCUUGCUGUUUUGACGUUACCGACAGAAUAAGCACCGGCUAACUCUGUGCCAGCAGCCGCGGUAAUACAGUGGGUGCAAGCGUUAAUCGGAAUUACUGGGCGUAAAGCGCGCGUAGGUGGUUCGUUAAGUUGAAUGUGAAAGCCCCGGACUCAACCUGGGGUCUACAUCCAAAACUGGCGAGCGAGAGUAGGGCAGAGGGUGGUGGAAUUUCCUGUGUAGCGGUGAAAUGCGUAGAUAUAGGAAGGAACACCAGUGGCGAAGGCGACAACCUGGGCUCAUACUGACACUGAGGUGUGAAAGCGUGGGGAGCAAACAGG